CCUCGCAGAGCUGCGCUGCCAGUGCAACGUGCUCCUGACUGACUGACAGAAGACUGCAAGGGAGAAGAGAAGAGGCAAAGCAGAAGAGCUGUUCACACACACACACGCAAAAUGGUAUUUAUGAGUUUCUUAUUAUUGUAUUUACUCAAACUGAGCCAGGACGAAAAGAGGAAAUAUGCAAUGAACACAGGCAAAUGUUGAGGCAAGCUGCAGCACACAGGAUUUUCUCUGAGACGACAGCCACGAGUACUCAGGGAACUGAGAAGAGAGCAGUAUCUCACAACAGCAGCACUUCACAGGACUUGCACCCUCCCACACCCCUCUGACAACACACAGCACCACUGGCACAUCUCUUCGAGCCAGGUAACAAGAGGGGAAGCUGUUAAAGAAGCUGCACACUUCAGCGAGAUCUUGGGCACUUCUUGGUACAAAGCUUGGAAAACGACAAUGAAGCACAUGAUGCCUCUUCCUUUCCGUAGCCGGGGACUGACAGCAAGGAUAUCAUAACCUCUAGCUUUCCUGCACAGCAAGAAAAUCCUACUGAUGACGAAGCUAGAGAAUGUGUGGAGUCUUAGAUGUAAAAUAAGAGGAAGAUUCUAAUGUUUAUGCAGCAGCUAGUAUUCUAUAGCUAGACCUUCAGUUCCAAAUCUGUAACACCAAUUCCUCUCAAGAAAAACACCUUACCUCUUCAUAUUCCCUUGUGUUACCCUGUUCAUCUCUCAGACCCUCCUCCCUGCACACAUGCAUACAGAUAAAACAGAUCUUUUCCCUGGACCUCAUUUGUCAAUGUUUCAAGGCUUUGUAAGUUUUUAUGCACCAGUACAGUCUGUUCCCUGGCUCCUCAUGGAGGUAUUUUCAUGCUCUCUCUAUUGCUACCACGCUCUUCUGAUCCUGACAGAUGCCUUCUGUCUUCCUUUAUGUCCAGCUGAUCCAACACGUUCUCACAAGCCCUGCUUUAAAUUAAGACUGUUACAUAAAGCAUUACUAAACUCGUA